rnacentral:rRNA from 1 species
GGAAUGCACUGUAGUCGAAAGGUCCGCCGCCAUAGGAUGGGUCUGCGGCCGAUUAGGUUGUUGUUGGGGUAACGGCCCAACAAGCCUGUAAUCGGUACGGGUUGUGGGAGCAAGAGCCCGGAGAUGGAUUCUGAGACACGAAUCCAGGCCCUACGGGGCGCAGCAGGCGCGAAAACUUUACAAUGCGGGAAACCGUGAUAGGGGAACUCCGAGUGCCCGUAAAAUCGGGCUGUCCGCCAGUUUAAAUAACUGGUGAAGAAAGGGCCGGGCAAGACCGGUGCCAGCCGCCGCGGUAAUACCGGCGGCUCGAGUGGUGGCCACUAUUACUGGGCUUAAAGCGUUCGUAGCUGGUUUGUUAAGUCUCUGGGGAAAUCUUCCGGCUUAACCGGAAGGCGUCUCAGGGAUACUGGCAGACUAGGGACCGGGAGAGGUGAGGGAUACUCCAGGGGUAGGAGUGAAAUCCUGUAAUCCUUGGGGGACCACCUGUGGCGAAGGCGCCUCACC